UUCUGGCUCAGGAUGAACGCUAGCGGCAGGCUUAACACAUGCAAGUCGAGGGGCAGCGUGGAGUAGCAAUACUCUGACGGCGACCGGCGAAAGGGUGAGUAACGCGUGAGCAACAUGCCCGGUAGUGGAGAAUAGUCGAUGGAAACGUCGCGUAAUACUCCGUAACAUAGGAGACCGCAUGAUCUUCUAUUAAUAGAUUUAUCGCUACCGGAUUGGCUCGCGUACCAUUAGCUAGUUGGCGGGGUAACGGCCCACCAAGGCGACGAUGGUUAGGGGUUCUGAGAGGAAGGUCCCCCACAUUGGAACUGAGACACGGUCCAGACUCCUACGGGAGGCAGCAGUGAGGAAUAUUGGACAAUGGCCGAGAGGCUGAUCCAGCCAUGCCGCGUGCGGGAAAGACGGCCCUAUGGGUUGUAAACCGCUUUUGUUGGGGAGCAAUAAGGUCCACGUGUGGAUCGAUGAGAGUACCCAGCGAAUAAGCAUCGGCUAACUCCGUGCCAGCAGCCGC
rnacentral:rRNA from 1 species